rnacentral:lncRNA from 1 species
UAUUUUUGGAGCACUUUUUGCAAAUAUGGUUAUAUUGUCUUCAAGGUUACACUGUUUCUGUUGAGAAGUAGCUGUUAGUCUUAUUGCUAUCACUUUUUCUUUUUUUUCCCCCUCUAGCUACACUUAGAUUUCCUCUGACUCCUAAGUGUUUCUGGGGUUCCAUGUGCAGUUAAAUGUGAACUUUCUUCCCUCUUUCAAGUCAGUUGCCUUGCCACUUGUCCUUUUGCAUUUCCAAUAUCAAAAAUUGUAAUUGGAAUCUUCAUCU